AGGAAAGGCAGAAGCUCCAAGUUUGCCCAUUUGGGCAGAGGGAUCCUCCUCCUGUCACCACUGGUUCUUUUUUGGCUUGGUCAUGUCACCCUCUCUAGAGAUACUCAAGAACUGGCUGGAUGAGCUCCGACCUGAUCUGCUCUGGAUGAUCCUGCUCUGGCAGAGAGGCUGAACCAGAUGAUCUUUUGAGGUUACUUCAAGCCCCUGACAUUCUGUGAUUCUAUGUGUCCAUAUUCCUUUCACUGGCCAAUCAUACUUGACAUCUUCUUGAGGCACAAAAAGUAACUUGGAUCCAGUUACCUCAAAUGUCUCCAUACAUCAUUAUCUGUAGCUUAAAAUUAUCACCUUUAUAGUGGUGUGGUCCUCAAAGACUCUAGAGAGAACCUAGGGUCAUUCAUGGAAGACAAGCAAUAAUCUGUUUUCAGACUCCUUGUUGAAAAUCCACAUGGUGUUCAGCAGAAUAAUGUGCUUCAGAGGAUGGCAUGUCAUGCUCCAGUAGUGGUGGGAGAGAGUCAAAAAAGCAGGCAAUGAAGCUAGCAAAAUGGCAAUCCUUCUCUGUCUCCAAGUUAGUUUAGGAAAGACUGACUAAAACUGAGUUUACUCUAAAUGCAGAUGCAGGGACUCUGUAGUAAUCUGUAUGAGCAAAACUCAAUAAAGUAUGACCAAGAAUAUA